rnacentral:rRNA from 1 species
GAGCGAUGAGGCCCUCUUCGGGGGGUACAUCAGCGGCAGACGGGUGAGUAGCACGUAGGUGAUCUACCCCAGAGACUGGGGAUAACGGACGGAAACGUCCGCUAAUACCGGAUGACCUUGUCAGGUCAAAGCGACAAGGAAAGGCUCCGGCGCUCUGGGAGGAGCCUGCGGGCCAUCAGCUAGUUGUGCGGGGUAAAGGCCCAGCAAGGCGAAGACGGCUAAGGGGUGUGAGAGCAUGGCCCCCCACAAUGGGACUGAAACACGGGCCAUACUCCUACGGGAGGCAGCAGCAGGGAAUAUUGCACAAUGGACUGGAAGUCUGAUGCAGCGACGCCGCGUGGAUGAUGAAGGCCCUCGGGUUGUACAAUCCUUUACAAGGGACGAGGAAGGACGGUACCCUUGGAACAAGUGUCGGCUAACUACGUGCCAGCAGCCGCGGUACGACGUAGGACACAAGCGUGAUCCGGAUUUACUGGGCGUAAAGCGUCUGCAGGCGGACAGGUAAGUUGGGCGUGAAAGCUCCGGGCCCAACCCGGACAGGUCGUUCAAUACUGCGUGUCUAGAGGGUGUCACAGGGGAGUGGAAUUUCCGGAGUAAGCGGUAAAAUGCGCAGAGAUCGGAAAGAACACCAAUGGCGAAGGCAGGUCCCUGGGUGCUACCUGACGCUAAGAGACGAAAGCU